rnacentral:lncRNA from 1 species
GAGCUUAGAGAUUGCCGGAUUAACUCAGGUAAGGGGGGUUUAUCGUCGAUUAAUGGGUAUUAUGGGAUAAUAUGUGAUGGGUAGUGAUAAGCCGUUAAUUUGACCCUAAUUGGGAUUAUUGAUGCUGAAGAAUUAUGUUGGAUAAAUUGUAUUUAGACUGUAAUUGAUUCUGUGUUUGGGUUAGUUGUGAAAUUCCGAACGUAUAGCUUUUACGGAAUCGGAAUCGGAGGUCCGGAAGUCCUCCAACGGCGGAAAAUGCGGAGAAUUCUGC